CCCACAACUCCUGCCCCUCAGGUAGGAUUUUCCCAUUUAUAAGCUCAUUUGGACCUUCCCACCAAUCUUCUUCAGAAGGAAAUCUCAUGAGGAGCUUUUCACACCCUUUUUUUAGGGGAAUGCCAGAUGAAGCCUCAUGCCCAGGUAUUGCUUGGGCGCAAUCUGAGGUUUUGCAGCUUUGCUGAAUCAUUUCUGUCCCCCCAUUUCUACAGCUCAUGCUACUUCUCCCCAAUAGGUCUUCUGUUGUUAUCCAUACUCAUUCUUUAAGAAAUUUAUGAAUAUUAGGGUGUCCUCUUCCUUUGCCGCCUUUCAUAUGAAUUGUCAUGUCUCUUGGAGAAUGGACUCCUGCUCAGGGGUUGUGGCCCUAGGGAAAAUUCAGAUAAUUAUGGUGGGGUUGUAUUGACUUCUAAGUAAUAGCUGUCCUGUUGAUCAACUGCAGUCACCUGCUGCAAAAACCCAGGACUACUCUUGGUCCACCAUUUGUUGAACUGUACUUUGGGACUUCCCCUUCAUGGAGAAACAGUUCAUACUACAUCCUGAGUAGGAUGGCUCCAAAGUGGUCACUGGAAAUUUAGACCAUACAGAAACAUCCAACAGUUCCCACCUUACUACAAAUGAUAUGCAGUGGCCUUGGAAAGGCCUAAAGAUCAUAAUAUCUGUUUCUCACUUCAAUGUUGCAUUUAUGACUGCAUGGACACCUUGUAUUUUCUCAGAGAGAAAACCAAAUGUUUCUACCACAGCCAGGCCCACUGCUAGCCUAGUCUUUCAAUUCUUCUACCUAGGAACAUCUUUCUCCUGGGAUUUUGGCUCAGUGGUAUCAUACUUGCCUAGAAACAUCUUUCUUAGAAUGUGGCACAGGUCAGUUCUUUGCCUCCUAUCUUCACAUGUUGCCUUCUCAGUAGUCCAUUCUCACCCACUUUAUUUAUUUCAUCCUUUCCAAUCCCCAUUCUAAUUUAUCCAUUUCUUACACUUUUAUCACCUAAGCUCAUAUCACUAUCUGGCAAACUACAUAUUUUUACCUAGUUUUUGUUUAGGGUCCAACUGAUCAUUUUAGGCUAUAAGUUCCAUAAAAGCUGGGAUUUUUUACAAAUUUGCCCACUAUUUGUAAAACAUAUUUACUGAAUCAAUGUCUAAAAUCUAUUUGUUGAAUGAGUAAAAGUAUCAAGAGUUUCUUUUUUUGUAGGAGGGAUUGAGCCCAGGGGCAUUUGACCAUUGAGACACACCCUCAGCAUUUUUCAUUUUGAGGCAGGGUCUCAUUAAGUUGUUUAGACUGGCUUUGACCUUAUAAUCCCCCUGCCUCAACAUCUUGAGUUGUUAGAAUUACAGGCAUGCACCACCGUGCCUGACCAGGGUUUCUUUUUGAGGUGAUAAAAACGUUCCUAAAUCAACUGUGGCAGUGGUUGUGCACAUCUGUGAAUAUAGUAAAAAUCAUCAAACUCUAGGCUUUAUAUGGGUGAAUUGUAUGGUAUGUGAGCUAAGGCUGUCAAAAGAGAACAAGAGAUAUACUAUCCCAGGCAAUGUCAUAAAGGAGAUCACCAUGUAUGCUCUGUGAGAAUAGAAUAUGUAGAGAAAUUUCCUUCAUUACAACAUUGACCUGGGAUGUCAAUUAGGAAAAGCACCUCCACAAUGGCUGCAAAGUGCAAGCUCCAACAUUAGAAGACAAAGGCUCAAAUCCUCCAAACACCACUUUCUAGUUGAGGAACUUUGGAAAUGUCACCAUUUUUUGUAAUGUACAAAAUGGGCAAAUAAUAGUACCCAAAGUCUUUAAGUAAACUCUUCUUCACAUUAUAUGGAAAGCUGAAAUGUGACAAUGGAUAAUUGCAGUAAAUACUGUAAUGGACAUACUGACCAUUAUUAUGAGGUAUUUUCAGGAUUUUUAUGGCAAACCACAGGAGAUGGGAGACAGACAUAAACAAGAUCUCAGUGACUGUUUCUUUUGAUGCAUCUUUAUAUACUAAGUGCUGAUGGACUUUGUUUUAUUGAAUGAAUGGUAUAUAAACUUAACCGUAGGAGCAAUGUUUCCACACUUCCAUACAAAAUAGGAUUGAAGGCAUUAUUUCCAAAUGUGUAAGAUUGAUGAAAUAAAUUAUUUGCUAAUUUAAUACUGAGGCAAAUUUGUUUCUGUUCUUCCUCCACCACUUACCCAUUUACCCUCAUCCCUACUCCAUAAAACUCCCCACCCACAUCCAUCCCAUCUGAUGCCCCACUCUACCACCCAUGUAUGGACCCUCCUAUCUCUGCCAUAGCCAUCAAGAAAACCCAACAAGCACCCAGGAAUUGCACCCUCACUCCUCUGCCCCAGUAUGCCCCCACACACAGAUGCAGCAUGACCCUCCCCUUCCCUGUGCUGCCUCCCAGCAACAGGCACAGUGGGUUUCCCCUCCCUCAUGCACUAUCUCACUCAGCUCCUGGUCCCCUAAUCUCUCCACAGCCAGGGCCCAACUCACCAUACACUACCCUUGCACACGGGAACCUUCCCUACCUGUAACUCCCCUCCAUGCUCCAAGCUAGGGCUCCAGGGGAAACAAUCAACAACCACCUGCUCUGGUGCAGUAUAAAAGGCCAGUGUGGGUGGGCCUGGCAUUCUCACUGGGCACUAUGGAGAGGAUGAUGGUUACUCAUUCAUGGAGAGCAGCAAAGAUGGUAUGACAAACAGUCUUGGCAGUUGACAAAGGACAAACCUUGGAGAACACAGAGGAACCUGCUUCUCCAGUGCCUGGCCACCUCUUCUACACCCACAGAAACAU
rnacentral:lncRNA from 1 species